rnacentral:rRNA from 1 species
AACGAACGCUGGCGGCAUGCCUAACACAUGCAAGUCGAACGAGACCUUCGGGUCUAGUGGCGCACGGGUGCGUAACGCGUGGGAACCUGCCCUUAGGUUCGGAAUAACUCCCCGAAAGGGGUGCUAAUACCGGAUAAUGUCUUCGGACCAAAGAUUUAUCGCCUUUGGAUGGGCCCGCGUUGGAUUAGCUAGUUGGUAGGGUAAAAGCCUACCAAGGCGAGGAUCCAUAGCUGGUCUGAGAGGAUGAUCAGCCACACUGGGACUGAGACACGGCCCAGACUCCUACGGGAGGCAGCAGUGGGGAAUAUUAGACAAUGGGCGAAAGCCUGAUCCAGCAAUGCCGCGUGAGUGAUGAAGGCCUUAGGGUUGUAAAGCUCUUUUACCCGGGAUGAUAAUGACAGUACCGGGAGAAUAAGCUCCGGCUAACUCCGUG